GUGCUUCCUUUGGCAGCACAUAUGCUAAAAUUGGAAUGAUGCAGAAAUUAGUAUGGCCCCUGAACAAGGAUGAAAAAAUAAUUAUAAAAUAUAUUCAGGAACUC